UUCGCAAACUGCCUGGAUGAUUGGAGGCUGUGCAUGAUUUUGUACUGUCCUUUUGAAUACAUGUAAAAGGAAAAACAGUCCUUUCAAUGCAGAGCUUUAUUUGAAUAUGAAAGCAAAUUGAAGAUGUUCUCAAGUACACUACAAG